GAUGUGGGACUUCCGGUCUCUCGGCACUUCCGCCCAGAGCCGGAAGCUUCGUCGCUGAGGGACCGUGAGGGGCCCGCGGUGCUGACCCACGGGCUAAGGGCAGGUCUCCUGUUUUGGAUUCCUGUUGUCUUAUAAUGAGUGACAUUUUGCCAUUAGAUGUCGUUGGUAGAAGAGUUGAAGUUAAUGGAGAAUUUGCAACAGUGCGCUUUUGUGGUGAUGUUCCUCCUGUGGCAGGACUCUGGUUAGGAGUUGAAUGGGACAAUCCCGAGAGAGGAAAGCAUGAUGGGAGCCAUGAAGGUACUAUGUAUUUUAAAUGCAGGCACCCAACAGGAGGCUCCUUUGUUCGUCCAAACAAAGUUAAUUUUGGAGUAGACUUUCUUACUGCCCUUAAGAAGCGGUAUGUGCUAGAAGAUGGGUCUGAUGAUGAUGGAAAAUCAUGUUCCUUAAAAGUUGGAAGUAAACAAGUGCAAACUGUUGGUUUUGACAAUAUUACAAAGAAGCAGAGUCAGCUGAGAGCAUUGCAAAACAUAUCCCUGUGGAAGUGUGCUGUGAGUCAUGCUGGUGAACAAGGAAGAAUUGCUGAAGCCUGUCCCAAUAUUCGAGUUGUAAAUUUGUCCAAGAACUUGUUGUCAUCUUGGGGUGAAGUGGUUCUUAUUGCAGAGCAGCUCAACAACCUGGAGGUUCUUGAUCUCAGUGAAAAUAAACUGCAGUUUCCUUCUGACUCACCAACUCCAACUGGAAUGUUUUCUAAUCUGAAGAUUUUAGUCCUAAAUAAAAUGGGAAUAACAUGGGCUGAGGUGCUGCGUUGUGCCCCGGCAUGGCCAGUCCUCGAGGAACUUUACCUCAAGUCUAACAGUAUUUCCAUUUCAGAAAGGCCAGUGAACGUCCUGCAGAAGAUGAGGCUUCUAGACCUUUCCUCUAACCCAGCAAUUGAUGAAAGCCAGCUGUGCCUCAUAGCAUAUCUGCCCAGAUUAGAACACCUACUCAUUUCUGACAUUGGACUUUCUUCUAUACAUUUCCCGGAUGCUGGAAUUGGGUGCAAAACAUCCAUGUUCCCGUCCUUGCAGUACCUCGUAGUCAAUGACAACCAAAUAUCAGAAUGGUCAUUUAUCAAUGAGCUAGAUAAAUUACAGAGCCUACAGGCUCUGUCCUGUACUAGAAACCCCUUGACUGAAGGAGACAAAGCAGAGGAGAUCAUCAUUGCCAAGAUCGGUCAGCUGAAGACCCUGAACAGGUGUCAGAUUCUUCCAGAGGAAAGGCGUGGAGCUGAGCUUGACUACCGAAAAACCUUUGGAAAUGAAUGGAAAAAGGCUGGUGGACAUCCGGAUCCAGAUAAAAACAGGCCAAAUGCAGAGUUUCUUUCGGCCCAUCCUAGAUACGAGCUUCUCUGCUGCAAAUAUGGUGCACCUGAAGAUGAGGAACUCAAAACACAGCAGCCAUUCAUGCUCAAAAAUCAGCUACUAACACUGAAGAUAAAAUGUUCAAACCAAGCUGAACAGAAAGUAUUAGAAAAGCAGUUGCCAGCAUGACACAAAUUCUCAAGAUUAACUUGAGUCACAACUAAAUGCUGGUGGGUUAGAUUUAAAGCCAGGAGCACUUGAAGAAAUGGAAACAUAUGCAUCUGACUCCAGUAAAUAUAUUUCCCUAUUUGCCUACCAUAAGUGCUAUAAAUUCAUUGAUUUUUACAUCCGUGUUCAUUAGACAAAAGCUUACCCAUGAUACCAUAGCUCAUGGAAGGCUAGUUGCACCCAGAAGAGUAUUUUCCUUAAUAACCAUCCAUUUAGGGCCAAUUUCUCCUGGUUUUUGUUUUGUUUUGUUUUGUUUUUUAGCAAUUCAAUUUCUAUUACUGAUAUGUAAUAUAUAAUAUAUAAUGACAAAUUAACGGUGUGUAUUAACUUUUUUUCUUGUUGCUCAGAAAAAAUACUCAAGCUAAGCAAUGUAAGGACAGGUACGCUGUUCAUGGCAGGAAAGACUGGUGGGAAUGGGGCAGUGGUCACAUUAUGUCCAUACUAUGGAAGCAAAGCUAUGCUGAUAACUCAACCUUUCUCCCCCUUCCCAUCCUUAUUCAGUCUGGGACAGGACGCAGCCUACUCCUCUCUAGAUGCAGCAAGUUUGAUCAGGCACAUUCAGGGUAGUACGGCUGUCGAAUUGGGUCACAAACAGGAAAAGGCUAGUUUUAUUCUAAAAUAGAGAAGAUUUAUUAUCACAAGUUGCAUAAAAACACAGCUUUCAUAAAAAAAUGAUUUUUAUAGAAAAAUAAUUGUCUACAUUGUGAUAUUUGUGGGACACCAAACUAUUGCUGUACUUUCAGCUAAAGCUUCAGAGUAACUAAUAUCCUUAAUCAAAAUAUCCACUAUGUACCACAACCUGUCUUUGGAAAGAAGUUCCUAGUGUGUUCUGAAUAGACCAGAGCAUUUAUUUUUCUGAGUUACCUUCCCAUACCUGGUAGUCAUGUGUGUGCACAUCCUGAUGGUGACCAGAUGCUCAUGCUGGGAGAGACCUCAUCAACCACUUAAGUCUAUGCUCUCUUCUAGAGGGAAAAUAAGGCUGAGAGGUGUCCUCAAGGCCCCACUCAUGGGAUCUUCAGCAACCCAUCAGGAAGUUAUCACAAAGGCCUAUAUUUUUCCUCCUCAGUGAAAUGAUUAUUUCUGGUUACUCCGAUUGAGGAAGAAAUAGUAAAUGCUACUGAAAUGGUAUGACACCUCACUGUCAAGACCACUUGGGUCAAACAUUGGCUCCAUUUCCCAGUUUACCAAAAGAAUCAACUGGUCGAAUGACUCAAGCUUUUGUCACUUAGUGUCUUAGGUACACUGACGCUAAGAAAUGACAGAUCAUGGCUGCCUCACCUGAGCUGUUUGUACAUAGUCGUCAUUUGAGAGAAAUGGAUUUUCCUUUUCUUUGAUAGAUUCCAUGACAAUUCAAAAGGUAAAGGGACUGCUGUCACGUCUUCUCAAAGUUCCUGUGUCAGAACUUCUGUUGUCCUAUGAAAGUCCCAAGAUGCCGGGCAGAGAAAUUGAACUAGAAAAUGACCUACAGUCAUUACAGUUUUAUUCUGUGGAGAAUGGCGAUUGUCUACUAGUGCGAUGGUAACAGUCCAACCGUAAGAGUUUAGCGACUGGAAUGUUGUAUACACCAGAAACAGAAACUUCGCCCUCACAAAGGAUGUAUGUUUUGUUGGGAAAGGACCAUUUGGUUGUAUAUUAAUAGAAUAAUAAAGGCUUUGAUUACUAGUGA